ACCUUCUUACGAAGGUAUGCUUAAAGAGGGGCUUGCGCCACAUUAGUUAGUUGGUAGAGUAAAAGCCUACCAAGACGAUGAUGUGUAGCUGGACUGAGAGGUUGAACAGCCACAUUGGGACUGAGACACGGCCCAAACUCCUACGGGAGGCAGCAGUAGGGAAUUUUCGGCAAUGGAGGAAACUCUGACCGAGCAACGCCGCGUGAACGAUGAAGUAUUUCGGUAUGUAAAGUUCUUUUAUUGAAGAAGAAAAAGUAGUGGAAAAACUAUAUUGACGUUAUUCAAUGAAUAAGCCCCGGCUAACUAUGUGCCAGCAGCCGCGGUAAGACAUAGGGGGCGAGCGUUAUCCGGAAUUAUUGGGCGUAAAGGGUGCGUAGGCUGUUAGAUAAGUCUAUAAUUUAAUUUCAGUGCUUAACGCUGUCUUGUUAUAGAAACUGUCUUGACUAGAGUGAGAUAGAGGCAAGCGGAAUUCCAUGUGUAGCGGUAAAAUGUGUAAAUAUAUGGAGGAACACCAGAAGCGUAGGCGGCUUGCUGGGUCUUUACUGACGCUGAGGCACGAAAGCGUGGGUAGCAAACAGGAUUAGAUACCCUGGUAGUCCACGCCGUAAACGAUGAGUACUAAGUGUCGGGGUAAAACUCGGUACUGAAGUUAACACAUUAAGUACUCCGCCUGAGUAGUACGUACGCAAGUAUGAAACUUAAAGGAAUUGACGGGACUCCGCACAAGCGGUGGAUCAUGUUGUUUAAUUCGAAGAUACACGAAAAAUCUUACCAGGUCUUGACAUACUCUGCAAAGCUAUAGAAAUAUAGUGGAGGUUAUCAGGGAUACAGGUGGUGCAUGGUUGUCGUCAGUUCGUGUCGUGAGAUGUUAGGUUAAGUCCUAAAACGAACGCAACCCUUGUCGUUAAUUGCCAGCACAUAAUGGUGGGGACUUUAACGAGACUGCCAAUUAAACAUUGGAGGAAGGUGAGGAUUACGUCAAAUCAUCAUGCCCCUUAUGAUCUGGGCUACAAACGUGAUACAAUGGCUGUGACAAAGAGUAGCUGAAACGCGAGUUUUUAGCCAAUCUCAAAAAAGCAGUCUCAGUUCGGAUUGAAGUCUGUAACUCGACUUCAUGAAGUUGGAAUCGCUAGUAAUCGCGAAUCAGCAUGUCGCGGUGAAUACGUUCUCGGGGUUUGUACACACCGCCCGUCAAACCACGAAAGUUAGCAAUGCCCGAAAGCAGUAGCUUAACUUCGCAAGAAGAGGGA
rnacentral:rRNA from 1 species